GUGAUCCCAAGAGUUCCCCUUGACCACUUCAUGAUAGGUUUAAUAACUUCUAAUUUUUAGUCCCCUCCUGAAGUGUUUGGGGGAACUCCCGGGUUCAC
rnacentral:pre_miRNA from 1 species